ensembl:lncRNA
CUGAGGCAGAGGGCAGCAGCUCCAUGCUCCCUGUUCAUCCUUACAGCAUGUGGUUCCAUCAGGACAAGCCGAAGUGUCGUCACAGGGAACAUCAGAGUCUAAACACACAAUAACAUACGUGACAGGCAUUAUAUGUUCCUUCACCUUUAAAACAGUGCAGAUAAUAUGGUCUAUUAAUAGCGGUCCUGAAUUUCUGUUAUGAUAGCACACAUCUGUACAGGACUGAACAUACUGUAGAUUGAAUAUAAUGAUGGGGAUUUUUUGGCCAGCUGGAUUAAUAAUGGCCAUCUACUGGUCCUGGAGGAACGUUGUUUUGUUUCACUUUGUACUCUACUAGCUGUAUAUGGUUGAAAUGACAAUAAAACCACUUGACUUGACUGUCUCUGGGUCCAUUCUAUUAAGAUCAAAAUGUCCCGUCAUUUUAUUUAUUUAUUUUUACUGAAAGCAUAAGAAUAUUAAAUAUAGCUGCAAACAGCGAUUUAGGGGUUCAAGCACUGUGCAGAAAAAAACGAUUUGAUCCUCUUUAUUGGGUUCCCUCUGGACAGACCACAGUUGUUUCACAGGGACCAAAAGAGGAAGUAGCUGAGACAAUCAUGCAUGAUACUUUCAAUAUCAAAAAAAAAAAAAAAAGAGGAAGCAGAUAAGAAUGUUCACAACAGUAUUUCCCAAUUCCUUCAGGAUGAAUCUAGUUGAGCCACACUGCCAUUGCUAAAUAAAAGAUGCUGAGACAGACAUUCAUCUUUGGAGACAAGAUUUAGGACAAUAAAUUAAGUAAGGGCAAGAAGGAAUAAGUUUACAAAAUGACCUUUUCCACAUUGUCACCCUAAUUUGGUCAAUGGCCAAGUCCCUCCCAACAGCUCUCUCCUAUCAUACGACAGCUACCAACCUGGGAGGGAGCUACCACACAGGUCCUCACAGACACCCUUGAUUGACAGGGGACAGAGAGCACAUCAUCCCUCCCAUGGGCAAUUUCGCUGCCUUAGCUCCUGGACAAGGGAUUGCUGUGGCAUGGUCAGUUUUCAAACUCACAAUCUCCUGACAACGGGGUUAAAAACUUUUCUGUUACGCCACUCGGGAGCAACAGAACGACUCAACACUUUCUUAAAAUGUUUUGUGGUGCAUUAUGGGAUGGGGCUUUACAUUUGCGGUCCUCCCAGGCAGCCCUCUGGCGAGCAGGAAACUUGGCCCACAUGGGAAGUUCGUGAUUGGUGGAAGACAUACACUUGGCGUUGUUUACGUCACAAACGCUGUCUUCUGGACAGCAGUGCACUUUAUCAUCGCAGCACACGGCCUGUGGAGGAAAUCAGUUGAUUAGUCCAAUAAGUUUUACACAAUUACGCCAUCUUUAAUGUGGUACUUAAUUUCAUCACCCGGUAUGUGACAACAUGGGUGAGGUUCCUUAAAAAUGGAUUGGAUUGGUUUUGAGAUCUACCAUCUACCACCAAAUGAUCUCCUCUCCAACUCACCUAAGCACUCAUUAAAUACUAAUAUCCUAAAGGCUGUGAAUAGCUGGGGUGUGUCAGGGUGUGCUAGAUCUUCAGAUCCAGGGUUGGGUGGGCAUGUUUUAACAGGUUCAGAUGCUAAUAUUCAGAACCAGAUCAGACGUGUUUAGAUAAUUAGAAUCAGAGCUAAAUAAUGGUCUAAAAUGAACAAAGUAUACAUUUAAAUCAGAUUAACACCAGAUCAAUGAAUUGGUAGCUAACCUCUACCAAGAUUCACAUAAUGUUAGCUGAAUUAGCAAUGUCUGAGUGCUAGCAUAAAAGAUUAUUGACUACGUGAGGUGAGGAAUUCCUUUGUGAUGUUGAUAUAGGUACAGCACGGUUUUAGGCUGCGAAAACUGGUUUUAACUGCCAGCUAGCAUGAAAAAGCCGUACCCUGGGCAUUGGGCAACAUCCCCAUCUUCCAUCUGCAGUCUCACAGCAUGAAGUCUCCACCGGGCACUCGGAUAUGCCAUCAGCACACAAAACCGCCAGAACCGGUUCUGUCAGAGAGACGUUUUUAUGUUUUUGCGUGUUGAGGAAGUCAGUGUCAUUCAGGCACGUUAAGGUUGAAAAACAAAUAUACACAAAUAUACUUCAAACAAAAACGUUUGUUCUGUUACACGAGUAACGUAGCUAACAAGUGUUCAGUGUUAGCUAAAGAUAAUUCCUUUUAUUAUUAUGUAUAUUUCCAGGUUCUGUCCUACAACCCCGAUUCCAAAAAAGUUGGGACGCCGUGUGAAAUGUAAAGAAAAACAGAAUGCAGUGAUUUGCAAAUCUCACAACCCCAUAUGUUAUUCACAGUAGAACAAAGAACUUACUAUUGACGAGGCCGGAGUGUUCGGAAGGAAAUCUCUCGGCCCAUGGGAGCGAGUGUGUAGCGUUUGUGCACCUGGAGUCUUUCACCUCACACAACAUGCCCUCGGGGCAGCAGUGUAAGUGGUCUUCACAGCACUCGCCCUGCACACAAACAAUCACAUACACACGCAGUCAUAUACUGUACACAAUCACACACACAAUCAUUAAUAUAUUGUACACAAUCAUAUACACACACAAUCAUAUACACUAUCACAUACUGUACACAAUCACACACACAAUCAUAUACUGUACACAAUCAUAUACACACACAAUCACACACACAAUCAUAUACACUAUCACAUACUGUACACAAUCACACACACAAUCAUAUACUGUACACAAUCACACACAAAUAAAUACUGUACACAAUCACACACAAUCAUAUACUGUACACAAUCACACACACAUACAAAAUCAUAUACUGUACACAAUCACACACACAAUCAUAUACUGUACACAAUCACACACACAAAAUCAUAUACUGUACACAAUCACACACAAUCAUACACUGUACACAAUCACACACAAUCAUAUACUGUACACAAUCACACACACACACAAAAUCAUAUACUGUACACAAUCACACACACAAUCAUAUACUGUACGCAAUCACACACACAAUCAUAUACUGUACGCAAUCACACACACACAAUCAUAUACUGUACGCAAUCACACACACAAUCAUAUACUGUACGCAAUCACACACACAAUCAUAUACUGUACACAAUCACAUACACACACAAUCACAUACACACACACAAAAUCACAUACACACACAACUGCAUACACACCAUCACACACACAAACACACACACCUUCACAUACUGUAUAUAACCACAUGUACACAAACGCAAACACUAUUUUGAGGUAUGGCCUCUGUUUCUCUCAGUCCUGGUGAGGGAGGUGUGGCCUUUGGGUCGUGAGGGAGGCGUGGCCUUUGGACCUGUCAGUCCCGGUGAGGGAGGCGUGGCCUUUGGGUCUGUCAGUCCCGGUGAGGGAGGCGUGGCCUUUGGGUCUAUCAGUCCCGGUGAGGGAGGCGUGGCCUUUGGGUCUGUCAGUCCCGGUGAGGGAGGCGUGGCCUUUGGGUCUGUCAGUCCCGGUGAGGGUGGCGUGGCCUUUGGGUCUGUCAGUCCUGGUGAGGGAGGUGUGGCCUCUGUGUCUGUUAGUCCUGGUGAGGGAGGUGUGGCCUCCGUGUCUGUUAGUCCCAGGCAGACUAUUCUACUCACCUGAUGGAAGGGACAGCAGUUGAAUUCUCCAGAGUGAAUCUGGCAACAUGUUUGCUCAUCCCCACAGCGCUGCUGAUCAGGACACUUCGAACCGGCUACCAGGCUCAGCAAGAGCACGCCAGCUGUUAGUCUUAACAUCUGCAAUGACACAGGGGGAAAAAAGAGGAAUAAAAACUAAAAAAAGAAAUUGACGGAGGCUUAAAAUAACUGAAAUUAUUAGUUCAAUUAUAGUUCAUUAUUCAUUCAAAAGUAAAUGAAUGAAUAAAUAAAUAAAUAAAUAAAUAAAAUGUUUAAAGGAACAGUACUUUGAUUAAGAAGUAUUAAAAAAUAUGUAUUUUUUUUAUAAAAACGAAAUUCAUAAAAAUAUAAGAUAAUAUAGAAAAAAGAUUAAAAAUAAAAAGUAUUUCAAAAAGUAAAAGGUUUAAUAUUUAUAAAUAUUUAAUAGGAAUUAAAGUGCACACGGAUUAGAAAGUAAUGAUGAAUGAAAUAAAAGAGCAUAUAUUUUUAAAGGUAUUCUACUUAGCUUAAAAUUGGAACAUAAACAAGAAAAUAAACCUAACGCGAAAAUAAAGAUCAAUAAUAGAAUAAGGAUAUGAAUAAAUGAGUGAAAAUAACAGCAAAAAAGCAAACCACUGUUUUAAAGCUAUUUUUUUAUUUUUAUUGUGUCUGUUGCGGAUGGCUCGCCGAGUUGUACACGAAGUGAAUUCCACAUGCUGGGAGCGUUCGAACUAAUGGCAGCUUUCCCCGUUUGCUUUAUUCUCUUCUGCUCAGAAUGAAGAAGGUUCUUAAAAACUUCUGGGAGUGCGGUGAGGAAAGGAACGAUCGGUGAAACUGGACAAAAUGUCGUUUUACAAGCCUGUUCCGUAAUCACAGAUGUACAGGACGAGAACAGAAAGAGAAUCACAUCCUGUACAACACGCUCCCAUGUUAAUCAACCUGGCCUUUCUUUAUUCCCUUUAUUCUUAUUCCCUUUAUUUAUUCCCUGGCCACUUUCAUGCCAUACUUACUAAAACCUUCAAAUCAUAUGCAAUAUGUAGCUAAAUUUCAGGUACCUUUUUGUUUUUUUUGAAGUCCAGAGUUUUACCCUGCAUUUAUAGAGUUACAGAAAACACACAGAGGAAAUGUCAUGACCUUUAUCAACAGAAAACACACUGUGCUUUCUCAGCCUUUACCUAAACCAUCACUUUUACUCAUGUGACAGUACUGCUUCCUCUUAUUUAUUAUAAAAUAGCCAGUCAGGAGUUUCCGACCUCACUUUGACACUUCUACAUUGUGAUUUCACUUCAUCUACAUUCAACUUGGACGUUAAAAAUACUGUUAAUGACUGCGUUUACAUGAACAGCGGUAAUGUAAUUAUUGACCAUAUUCUGAAUAAGACGUAUAAUAUUCUGAUGAAGGUGUUUACAUGAGUCUCUUUUAGAAUACUCCUUUCAUGUUCCUGUUUUACGUGUUAUAGAACAUAGAUGGAUUAACAGCACACGUCAUUACGUCCCCGCGCCACGCCGUCCGACGUCUCUCCAGAAUUUCACGUAUCGGCAUACAGCUGGUCUUCGUUAUGGGACCGUAUACAGUUUUGGGUGUUUAAAUGCAGCUUCAAGUGCGGUUAAUUAUCUGUCAUGCUGUACGUGCAAAUAGACGACUGCUUGAAGCCGUGGGCUGCGCCCCAAUCUACGUGUUACGUGUAUUUUGCCUAUUACCCUAUACAGUUAUAGCAGGUAAGUACGCGGUUUGGGACGCGGCCGUGCUCUCUCGUUUACGUGAAACGGUCGAGCGCUGCCGUGUGUGUACGUGUCCUGUCGCACAAUGCGGUGAAAACUCUCACACGACGUUAAUAGUGUGAUUAAGGUGUGUACACGUCCGUAACGCACGUCGAUAACGUGACUAAAACGGGAAUACUCCACACGUCUUAAUUCCAUUUGUGUUUACUUCGAGUAUGACUUUAAUCAGAUUAAGAUCAUCAAUAAUCUCUGUUUACAUGCUAGUUUCUUAAUCAGAGUAUCGUCUUAAUCGGGUUCACAUCGGAAUAGCGUUGUCCAUGUAAACGUACUGACUGUCAGGGAAGAAAAAAGAGCUGUGUGAGUUUAUCAUGCUUGGGAAUUAACCUGGAAGCUCCCCUCUUGAGCUCUGCGAGGUUUCAGUGUGGCUAAAACACUGGUUAGAAAGUGCAACAGUAACAUAAAAUGAGGAAGUGCUUGUGAUUUAUGCACAGCAUUUAUGUAGCUAUAAACUGAAAGCCAUCCAGGCCACACUAAUGAGCAGGCAGGCAGUAGCAGUUGUAGUAGUAGUAGUAAUAAUAAUAAUAAUAAUAAUAAUAAUAAUAAUAAGCUUGUUUUAUACGAUGUCUUUCUCCUACACAAGGUCGCUGCUUUAACAGUAAGAAGAAACCUGAUAAAAAAAUUUGCAAGACAAGACAAAAAGAAGAAGUAGAGGAUUAAAAUGACCCAUGGUUGAAUAAAACAGACAGGAAGUAAAAGAACAGCAAAGUUUCGUGUCAUGAGUUUUGCUUUGUAUAUAAUUUGAUUUCCUUUUAAACUUUUAAACCAGCAAUCACACGCACUGCGGUUCUGCUUACCCUCAGAUGGGUCGUUUUUGAUCCCCAGAGAGCUUCUGACCUGAUCACCGUCUCGUCCCCGAGCUCCUGGUUCUCUGCUGCAAGAGAUGACGAGUCAGCGCUCGAUGCUCGGCAGUCUUAUAAAGUCUUAUAAAGCUCCCGUUUGAGGCGUUACAACAUGCCUCCCAGUCAAACAUGACACAACUCCAGGCAGUAACACCCUUCCAAACAAUUACAAAAUCCUUCAAAUGACUUUCAUCCAUGCAAAAGCACUAACGCUGGGAUGAUAUUUGCAGUGAUUCAUUUAUUUAUUUAUUUAUUUUUAAUCUCAAUCUGCAGUAGGAGUUACAUAUUCAGAGUGACUCUAUAACACGGCCAAAGGAUCUCAUACCACAGCGUGCGUUUAUUUCCGAAUUAUUAUUAUUGGAUCAAAAGGUGUUGAUGAAUUUUCUAAAAAAAAAUUCCUGACACUAUUACCAACUGUAAAUCAAAUCACAGGGUUAUAUUAAAUACUUUAUCGUUUCUAUAGUAACAGACCGUUCGCAGGGACACCAGGGUAUAGCAAAACUCAACAUCUCAACAUAACUUUAAAAAACAAAAACAAAGUAUAAUUGGUCAUACUAUGACGUUUUCUGUAAGGAGACAUUUAUUUGUUUAACAUUGAUGGAAGGAGUCUCCAGUGUCAGCGCUUCGUAACGGUCAGAGGUGACGCUGUCAUUUUCGAACAUCUUCAGGAUGAAGUUUGGUGUCUUUGUAACUUCAAGAGAGAGGAAAAGAAAUCGGCCGGUGAGGGAACGACGAGGUGAGACACUAAGAACGGGAACUAACUUGUUUCACGGACGAUCUGCAUUAACAUUAAACGUGUCUUUCUUUUCUUUAAUUACCAAAAAAAUUCAAUGUAAUUGUUGGUAAACUGCCGUGGCAGAAAAGAAAUGAAACGCGCGAGCGCACGCUGUAAUAGGAAAAUAAUCAUCGUUCAGGGUGGCAGCUGUAACGUAACUGUGCUUCAUCACACCACCACGUCGCUGAUUGUUUUCCUAUAACAGCACAACUCUGAGUGUUUUAUUUCUCUACGUGUUCACUGUGCUUGAUACUGUCCUGGUUAAAAGUGUGGAAUGUUCCACUACAUACUACAAAAUAAAGUACUUUUUUUUUUUUUUUACUUCCUGGCCUUGUUUUCAUUUUGGUUAACUUCCUGUUAAACACACUGUACUGUUGCGAUCAUUGACGUAGCUGUGAAAAAACUCGACCAUGACAGUAGACAAAAGCACUGAGGGGAAAAACGUUAGAUUUUAAAUUGAAACUUUUAUAGACGUUAUGAAUCUUCAGACAGUUUUACAGAAACAAAAGGAAAAACAUAACACAGACUAAAUUAAAAUAAUCAUCAUCA